AGAAACACGCACUUAACCACUCGCCACGUGCCUAUAACAGUUCGAUUUCAGAAAAGAAUAAAGCCAGUGGAACAUUACCAACUGGAGCAGCAAUUGCACUAGGAGCAGCAGCAGUUUUUAUUGUUAUAUUGGUUAUACUGUAUGCAUUGAUAAGACGUGUGCGUCUGAAUUUGACAAAUAAUAACACAGGAAUUAACAACGGUGUUGAUCACAAUUUACAACAACCGACUGGACACCCAAUUGUUUUCAUUAACGGAUCGGAUGGUAAGAGUGUCGUAAUUGCUUCUACAAAUCUGUCUUAUGCUCAACAAUCUGCACAAAACUUGCCAUCACCCUACUCAUAUGCAAAUGCCAAACUGACGAUGCAUACUGUAUCGCAGUAAAAGACUAUAUAUAUUACCA